UUUGUAUUACCUGCGGAAAUUGUUACCAUUUUCGGCUCAAAAAUGGUAACAAUUUCCGCACGUAAUACAAA
rnacentral:miRNA from 1 species